rnacentral:rRNA from 1 species
GACGAACGCUGGCGGCGUGCUUAACACAUGCAAGUCGAACGGAAAGGCCCCUUUUGGGGUACUCGAGUGGCGAACGGGUGGGUAACACGUGAGUAACCUGCCCUUGACUUCGGGAUAACUUCAGGAAACUGGGGCUAAUACCGGAUAGGAAUCCUUGCUGCAUGGUGGGGGUUGGAAAGCUUCGGCGGGUUUGGAUGGACUCGCGGCUUAUCAGCUUGUUGGUGGGGUAGUGGCUUACCAAGGCUUUGACGGGUAGCCGGCCUGAGAGGGCGACCGGCCACAUUGGGACUGAGAUACGGCCCAGACCCCUACGGGAGGCAGCAGUGGGGAAUAUUGCACAAUGGGCGGAAGCCUGAUGCAGCAACGCCGCGUGCGGGAUGACGGCCUUCGGGUUGUAAACCGCUUUCAGCAGGGGCGAAGCUUGUGGUGACGGUACCUGCAGAAGAAGCACCGGCUAACUACGUG